rnacentral:rRNA from 1 species
UCGGGAAUUUUGGGCAAUGGGCGAAAGCCUGACCCAGCAACGCCGCGUGAAGGAUGAAGUAUUUCGGUAUGUAAACUUCGAAAGAAUAGGAAGAAUAAACGACGGUACUAUUUAUAAGGUCCGGCUAACUACGUGCCAGCAGCCGCGGUAAUACGUAGGGACCAAGCGUUGUUCGGAUUUACUGGGCGUAAAGGGCGCGUAGGCGGCAAUUCAAGUCAUCUGUGAAAUCUCCGGGCUUAACUCGGAACGGUCAGAUGAUACUGCUUUGCUAGAGUGCAGAAGGGGCAAUCGGAAUUCUUGGUGUAGCGGUGAAAUGCGUAGAUAUCAAGAGGAACACCUGAGGUGAAGACAGGUUGCUGGGCUGACACUGACGCUGAGGCGCGAAAGCCAGGGGAGCAAACGGGAUUAGAUACCCCCGUAGUCCCUGAGCGGGCUGGCAAGGCGCAU